rnacentral:rRNA from 1 species
UCGGGAAUUUUGGGCAAUGGGCGAAAGCCUGACCCAGCAACGCCGCGUGAAGGAUGAAGUCUCUCGGGAUGUAAACUUCGUAAGAAUAGGAAGAAUAAAUGACGGUACUAUUUGUAAGGUCCGGCUAACUACGUGCCAGCAGCCGCGGUAAUACGUAGGGACCAAGCGUUGUUCGGAUUUACUGGGCGUAAAGGGCGCGUAGGCGGCGUGGUAAGUCACUUGUGAAAUCUCCGAGCUUAACUCGGAACGGUCAAGUGAUACUGCUGUGCUAGAGUACAGAAGGGGCAAUCGGAAUUCUUGGUGUAGCGGUGAAAUGCGUAGAUAUCAAGAGGAACACCUGAGGUGAAGACGGGUUGCUGGGCUGACACUGACGCUGAGGCGCGAAAGCCAGGGGAGCAAACGGGAUUAGAUACCCCUGUAGUCCCUGAGCGGGCUGGCAAGGCGCAU